rnacentral:rRNA from 1 species
UACGAGGGGUCCUAGCGUUGUUCGGAAUCACUGGGCGUAAAGCGCGUGUAGGCGGCUUAGUAAGUCAGAUGUGAAAUCCCUGGGCUCAACCUAGGAAGUGCAUUUGAUACUGCCGAGCUUGAAUAUGAAAGAGGGUAGUGGAAUUCCUGGUGGAGUGGUGAAAUACGUAGAUAUCAGGAGGAACUCCGGUGGCGAAGGCGGCUACCUGGUUCAAUAUUGACGCUAAGACGCGAAAGCGUGGGGAUCAAACAGG